UUCUGGUUUUUCUUCACUCUAGACUGGUGGGCAGGUGUCUCUGCAGACAGCAGGAAUACCUGCAAUGGAGAAGAAGGAGCAGGCUGGGCUUGUGGGAGGAAAUGCAGGAGGUGGUAUUCCCUCCAAGGGAAGUGUGAGGCUACCAAGAACAGGUCAUGGGGGAAAGGCCUGCUGGUGGGACAGGAAAGUGGUCCUUUUAGCAUCUGUGGGACAGAGGACCAACUCUGUUAGGAGAUGCUUCUAGAAGCCCAUUUGUGGUAGAUGCCAUCAGCAUCAUUGGCAGCUGAGGUCAGAGGAAGGAGAAAGGUGUGCUACAACAGAGGAAAGAGAAAUGAUUGGACCCAGGGUGGAGGAUCUCAGUGGAGUCGGAGCUAGAGACAGAAUGAUGCUCCUACAUUAACUUGAUGUGACCCCUCCUUCCGCCCUCCCCUCCACAUGUUGAAUUAAAUUGGCAUCUGUCGCAAAUUGCUGGGGGUGGGGUCUAAGAAGACAGCAGAGGCCAGAGUCAUCAUGGCCCCCAGCUCACUUCUGGAUUUUGCUAACAUCGUAUCUGUUGGAAAUGGAUGCAUUCCCAUGUUUCUGGGAAGGAUGGCUCCUUUGUGACUGUUAACCAGCAAUUAUGAGAGCCCGGAGCAAUUUUGCUGUUGAUUAGAUGCCUAUUUUUGUAUUCACUUUGGAUCUCCGUAGGUCUGGGAGAGCAGAAGGUCUCUCUCAAGGGUUAUAAUAGUGACUUUGCCAUUUGGCACAGAUUUAUGGAGCUUGCUGUGGGGAUCUCAGAAAGCUGAACUCCUGAUUUUCUCCCUGAGCCUGGUCCUGUCUCAUUUUCUGCAUCCCAAUAAAUGGCACCACCAUCCACUCAGUUGCUCAAGCUAAAUUCCUAUCAGUCACUGUCGAUUUUUUAUUUCCCUUCCUUCUCAUUCAGCUGCAAGUAAGGCGAAUUCGGUCUCUAUCCACGAUGGCCUAGGAUGACCACCCAUCCAGGUUUGGCCAGGGACGUUCUCAUUUUAGCUCUGAAGUUCCCGUGUCCCAGGAAACCCCUCAGAUCCAGCAAACUGGGGUCGUUGGCCACCCUCAUCUUUCACAGCCACUUUUUCCUUUGGAAACAGGGUCUCGCUAUUUUGCCUAGGCUGCGCUCCAACUCUCCAUCCUUCUACCUCAGCCUCCAAAGAGCUAGGACUAUAGCUCUGCAGCGGUCUCCAGCUGUCUCCAGCUCGGCAGCGGUGUCCAUCUCUGACUCCAGCACUUGUCAGCUCCGACUAACUCCAGCAGUUUCCAGCUCUUCUCGACUGAAUUCUUUCUAG
rnacentral:lncRNA from 13 species